CCGUAGUAACAUAGAGCUAAUACAUGCAAAUACUCGUUUCUGUAAGGAAAUGAGGCACUUAUUAGAUUACAAAAGCCAAUAACAUGUAAAAGUGUUUUAAAAAUGGUGAUUCAUAGUAAGGUUGGAAAUCGUAUGGAAGCAAUUCUGACGAUAUAUCAUUCAAAUUUCUGCCCUAUCAACUUUGGAUGGUAGUAUAGAGGACUACCAUGGUGAUAACGGGUAACGGAGAAUUAGGGUUUGAUUCCGGAGAGGGAGCCUGAGAAAUGGCUACCACUUCUAAGGAGGGCAGCAGGCGCGCAAAUUACCCAAUCCUAAUACAGGGAGGUAGUGACAAUAAAUAACAAUGUAGGGAUUCAAAAUCUUUACAAUUGGAAUGAGAACAAUUUAAACCCCUUAACGAGUAACAAUUAGAGGGCAAGUCUGGUGCCAGCAGCCGCG
rnacentral:rRNA from 1 species